GAGAUGGAAAACAAAGACAUCAGACAUUAAACUUACAUACCCUGGAGGACAAAAUACAGCAUUCAUCACAGAACACCUUAUUCCCCAUCUCAUGCCUGCUCAUCCCAUAGAGCAAGCUGGUGCUUUUGCAUCCUAUUGUCCAGCACGGCACAGGGCAGGAACUGCUUGCUCACAGCAACUAAAACAUCCACCGCCUCUAAAUCACCACUUAUGGAGACACCUGAAAAAAACAGCUUCAAUUACCAAAACCCACGGGCCAUGGAACAGAAUGCAGUUCUACUUAAUUUCACAAUGUCAUGAAAAUGGAAAUAAACAACCCCCCUAUCUGCUUGAAUAGAUUAGAUGUUGGGACAUUUACUUCAAUUUCUAGGCUCCAUUUAUCCAUUUUGAGAUACCGUAUUAUGCAGCCUCCAGAAGAAUCAGUAAAAUUAAAGUGUUUUUAUAUGGCUUAGACACCAUUUAAAUUUUUCACAGUUUUACUUAAAUUCUGUAAUCUAGAAAUCAAUUUAAGUAAUUAUUCAUUUGCUCCUAACGGCUACAUUCCAGAAUGUGGGCUUGCCUUUUAAAGGCUUUAUACAUGCCGCAUCUCUCCAUUCUUUUCUAGGUGCUCUUUUGAGCUACAGUUUACAGGUCGAUGAUUUUAUUCAUCCUCUGACAGGCUUCAUCUCUUGGCAAUGUUUUAAGAGUACCUUCCAUACUCUGAGUAUAUUGUAUUUUGCUAGGCUGCUGUAAAGCUGCAAGUCUCUUCAGAAUGUGGUGUUAAGUUUGUAAGUUAGGUUGAUACCCAUGAAAACAAAAGAUUUUCAAGUAGAGAGGACAGAAGGGAAUAAAGCAAAUUCUCUUCCCCUUCUGCCCACAGCAAUUCUGGUACUACAGCCCUCACUGCUCAAACUGCCACCCACAUGCUUCUUUAGAAUCCAGACAGCAUAAGCUAAAAAGGAAAACCCAAACAAUCAAGUAAAAAACUUUCACUGGGAAUAUGUGAGGAGUGGUUGAAGGAACUGGUUUUAUUCAAGCUGAUAAGGGAACACUAAAGGCAAUAUAAGAGCGGUGUAUAUUAAUUUUGUAGUUACAUGGAUAGUGGAUCCAAGCACUUUCAUAAUGUCAGAUAAUCUAACAAGACAAAACCUGGAAAUUGUAGUUUGGAAAAUCCUGGUUGGGAAAUAGGAAGAAAAUUUUCAUCAGGAUCCUUUCCCAGAGAGAUGGUAAAAUCUCCAGCAUUAGAUAUUUUUAAGACUUGGCCAGACAAAGUCAUGGUUUUAUCUAUCUGUUGUUGCUACUAGUCCUGUCUGGAGAAGGAGAUGGGAUUUGAUGACCUCCUGAUGUCUUUUUCAGCCAAUCUUUUUCUGUUUGUUUUACACAAAACGUCAAGUAGGAGUAAGUAUAGGGUAAGACCAUUUCAAAGGGUAUCUUACACAUUUAAUAUAACCUGGGAUGUGAGAGACAAAGGGCAGCAUCUUCAGCAAAAGCUGUGCAAAGGCUCAUGAGAGUUGAGCACAACCAUCCUCAGGUGCAGAAUUGAUCAAGCAUUUCCAGAUUCAUGAACUCUCUGAAAAGUGUCUGGCUGGGGUGUGGCAAGAGACUGAAAAUCUCAUACCCUCUCUUGAACGCCAUUGAAAAUCUACUCAACAAAAUAAUGUUGCCUACUUCCUAAUGUCAAAACUCAUCAUCAGCAAUAUUAAAAAAGUAGCAUGACUGAUCCAGGUUCUGGGAUCUCACCUAACAGAUCAAUCUCAGUCACUCUGGUGGUUUGUGCUUAGUCACCAAAAGAGAUUCCUAAGAUCCUGGCCACUUACAAUUUAGAAAAUCCUGUCUGGGAUUACAAGAGGAAGUCACUGCUUUUAAAAAGGCCUGAAGCAACUGAGAAAUCUCUAUUGAAGACAUACUCUUUUCCAUGAGAACUGGCCUAUCACAAGGAAAUUAAUUUGUUACCAGGAUUAGAAUAUAAUGCAGCAUCAAAAGGAGAGCCAGACAGAGUCCAUAUUUUUUUUCCCAUUUGCUGUAGAAAAGGCAAAACAUGAUUCCUAGUGGCACUUAAAGGGAAAGGGUAAGUUAUGGUGACUGCAAAAGGCUUGUGGUACUCUGAAAGACAGCUGCUCACUCUCUAAAGAAAAAAAGAUUUUUCUUCUUAAAAGUGACUGCUAGCAAUGGAAAUGGAUUUCUAUAUUGCCACACACUUUGAGAAACUUAUUUGCUAUAUGCUAGUCACAAGGCUUGAUUCUACCUUAUCCCAGAGGGGUAAAAUCCAGCUAAACACAGGGUGGAACCUACAUAGCCUUUCUGAGGAACAUUAUGCAUUAGCAGUGUUGUGAUGACUCUAUUCAUUUAGAUUUCUGUGAUAAAUCCUUCCUAUAAGAGAGCAUCAAUUUACAUAGUCUUGAACAGAAACAGAAAUUCAAAGACUAAGUAGUGCCACCUACCUUAGACAAAGAGGAAUAUUUAUGCACCAAUCUAACCAAGGUGUUCACUCAGCCAUUAAAGAGUUUCACUAGAACUCAUAAACCACAUUAAAACAAAAGACAAAACACCACCUGAUCAU